GACGAACGCUGGCGGCGUGCUUAACACAUGCAAGUCGAACGGAAAGGCCCUGCUUGCAGGGUACUCGAGUGGCGAACGGGUGAGUAACACGUGGGUGAUCUGCCCUGCACUUCGGGAUAAGCCUGGGAAACUGGGUCUAAUACCGGAUAGGAGCCAUUUUUAGUGUGAUGGUUGGAAAGUUUUUUCGGUGUAGGAUGAGCUCGCGGCCUAUCAGCUUGUUGGUGGGGUAAUGGCCUACCAAGGCGGCGACGGGUAGCCGGCCUGAGAGGGUGGACGGCCACAAUGGGGAUUGGGUACGGCCCAGGCUCCCAAGGGGGGGCAGAGUGGGGGAAAAUUCCCCAUUGGGCGCAGCCUGGUUGAAGGGAGGCGGGGUGGGGAUUACCGGCUUCGGGGUGUAAACCCCUUUCCGCAGGGACGGAACUUUUUGUGACGGUAACUAGAUAAGAAGCACCGGCUAACUACGUG
rnacentral:rRNA from 1 species